GAUGAACGCUGGCGGCAUGCCUAACACAUGCAAGUCGAACGAAGCUCCGACCUUUGAGAUUUCGGUCAAGAAGGAAGGAAGACUUAGUGGCGAACGGGUGAGUAAUGCAUGAGCAACCUGCCCUUCAGAGGGGGACAACAGCUGGAAACGGCUGCUAAUACCGCAUAAGCCCACGACCCGGCAUCGGGUUGAGGGAAAGGAGCAAUCCGCUUGAGAUGGCCUCGCGUCCGAUUAGCUAGUUGGUGAGGUAACGGCCCACCAAGGCAACGAUCGGUAGCCGGACUGAGAGGUUGAACGGCCACAUUGGGACUGAGACACGGCCCAG
rnacentral:rRNA from 1 species